rfam:Sphingopyxis sp. LC81 contig41, whole genome shotgun sequence.
GCCCGGGUAGCUCAGUUGGUAGAGCAUGCGAUUGAAAAUCGCAGUGUCGGCGGUUCGACCCCGUCCCCGGGCA